GGCUCUGUGGCGCAAUGGAUAGCGCGUUGGACUUCUAAUUCAAAGGUUGUGGGUUCGAAUCCCACCAGAGUCG
rnacentral:tRNA from 1 species